UCGUGUCCUAUAUCAUACAUCACAUUACAAUACGCAUAGUGUCUUUUAACAUUUCCCUGUGGCGCGUCUCUCUAUCACUCUUUGGUAAUUGGCAACCGACGACCCGGCGACACGAGACACGUUUUUUUUUUUUUUCCGUCGCGCGUGUGAAGAGGAUUUACACGUCCCGGUUCUGCAGUGCGACUAUUAUACUUCGGUGGUCACACACGCAUAAUAUUAUAGAUAUAUAUAUAUAUAUAUAUCGUCGUCCCGAUUUCUACCGGUCGAUCUCUUUCUGCGCUUCCGUUUUUCCGUUUUUUUACUUUUUUUUUCCGCCGAUAUCUUCCGGUUUCUAUGGCCCGUUCGUUUCUCAAAAGUCGCGUAUCUCCGUUGUCUAUCACCCAGCGACUGAUAAGCUUCACGUGUAUUUUUAUAUAUAUAUAUAUAUUUUUUUUUUUUUUUUUUAUUUAUUUAUUCGUGACGACUCUGUCGAGGGACUCGUUCGUAUACGUGCUUGCGAGGGUCCGGAGGAGGCGUGCGUCCCGAUAGUUCUCGUUUUUUUAUUUUUUUUUUUCGUCGACCUUUUCUCGGUAUAUGCAUAUAUUCCCGACGCCAACCGACGACGCAUUUGGACUGACCGGUUGCAACGUGUUUUUCGAGAAUAUUAUCGAGACUACCAACUGCCAUUAAUCGUUACGUCCGUAAGGUCACGAAGGAGGUUGUGUAUGUGCAUUUUGGAUCACCGCAGUUUUUUUUUUUUUUUUUUUUUCCUAUCCGACGUUACACACGUCCGGUACAACCGUAAUCUUCGAGACGACUUGUAUUAGCGGAUCUCUCGUCGUCGACCCGUGCGACGAAGCUGUGGUCUCCUUAUGUUCAAGUUUCGCACGACGCACGUGUGUAUAGGAUCUAUGCGUACCGAUCGGGCAAGUUCCGUCUUUUUUUUUUAAAUUUAUUUAUUUAUUUUUUUUGUUAUUUUUUAAUCAGUUUUCAGUCCGUCGGUUACACGCGCAGCCCGGACGAAUAUUCACCUUCGUGUUCACGUGUUCCUAAUUACGUAACGCUCGGACGUAUAUAGACGCACACCCAUCUACGUUUAUGCGAGCAAAGAUACACGUUUGUCUGUCGGCGGAACAGAGAAACGAAAGAUUGUCGGGGAAAGAACUCUCCUCGGGGACGAAUUUCGGCGACGAGCUCCGUUCCUAAAUUUCUCUCGUGUCUAGACGCGUGUCCUGCGAGUGAAAUUCCAGAGUAUUUUGCGGCUAACACUAGCGAGUCGAUCCGAACUUUGCGCGUCGCAACCAUAGUGGAAUUCGACAUAUUUUGGCAGGAGUCAAGAUUGCGUUUCAACACCGAACCUACCACAGAGGGGGUUGAAUUACGGAACUCGCAAAGUUCGAUCUACAGACGAUUUCUGUGAAGGGAAUAGUUACUUGGUUUCUGUCUCAACUUUACAAUAGAUUCAUCUUCACGACGUAACAGUACAGUAAACUUCCGAAUAACACUUAACGUAAAGUAUCAUGCGCGUUAUACGGGAGUCUCUGUGUUUCUAACGCUUACGCGACCGAUGAAACGGCUACUACUGGCUUUUCCAUUUCCUUUCCAGAGUUUUCAACGAGUCUCGCUAAGAGAAUGUAGACGCAUCGCUAGGAUACGAAAGAAUCGGUGAAGUCGGUUCAUUUACAAUUGAAUUGACGUGUAAGUAAACCUUUGUGAUUUAUUGAAAAUAAAGGGAACGAGGAUAUAUUCAAGGUACCGCGUUCAAUUCGACGCGCAACGACGCUUGAAUAUUUGUCACAGAACGUAGAGGCAAAAGAAUGAAUGGAUUAUCGAGAUUCAAACGAGCGACUUCUGGAGAGACCUGCAGAGCGUAGAGAUAUACUCUUGUUCUUAGUUUUCGAAAACAGGUCCAAUUUACAAGCGAACAAGGGUACGAAUUUCGAGUCGCUGACGAUUCUGUAGAAAUGAAUUCUGUGCCUUUGUAACUUUGGUUCAAGUAGAAAUAUGUAAUCGCCAUUACCAACCUCAUUGGUACUCGACCUCAUGAUCAUUACGAUGUAUAUGUAUGUACAUAGGAGAAUUACUAGCUAUAGAUCUUUGUUUCACACUAACGUUUCAAUGGAUUACGUGUGUGCUUGAUAAUUACAAUAACUGUAUUGAUAAUAACAGUAAGCAAAAUUGAGUGGCUAUUAAAGUUCGUACAGAUACACUGCAACGACCGUCAGGUUGAGACUUUAACGUACCAAAACGACGAGUAAAUACAUCUGUUUAAACAAGAGUUACAAAGGAUCGGAUAUAAAGACACAGAAUUAAUUUCUAUACGUCUAAUAAUAUUCAGACACUUGGCAAUUUAACUUUGUAUUACAAACUACAAAUCGCUAAGUGUCCCGGUACUAAAUGUACUCGGCUAAACAUCUACAACGAUUUACAGAGUGUUACAAUGCAACGUGAGUACCAGAAACGAGAGAAUAAUAAAGAAAUAGAUAUUUGGAUCCUGAACGAUGUUCUAAUUCAGAUAGAGAGAAGGGAAGGACUUGGGGACGUCGAAGCCGACGGUACAAAGGGAUGAUCGAGCAAACUCGUGGACGAGGACGUAAGGGCGAGAGCGAGAUAUCGAAACGCGUUCAUAGAUCGGGGAUGAUCGUGGCCGAUCGCGCGAGGCCAUAACGCGCGACGCGCAGGAAGCCAGCGAAGCGCGCGCGUUCGAUCACGCGAACCGACUACGAAACAACGCCUCACUUUUGCUGUUCUUCUUUCUUUUUUUUUUUUUCUACGCGAGUCUCGCGCGGAUAGGACGAGGGCUGGUUUUCUGGCUGAUCGAAGAAGAAGGGGUGGACUUUGAGAAGCGGCGAAAAAACGGUGAGAGAUAAUUAAAGAACACGUCAACGCCGUUUUCCUUUUUGUUUUGUGAAUUCCACAAGUACAUUGUUAUUACAUUCGUUUUUCUUUAAUCCAUUAUCAUUACGAUUAUCAUUAUUAAUUAUAAUUAUCAUUGAAAACACGGGUCUUACCAACGAGAAAAAAAAAAAAGAGGAAAAUAAUAUUGGUCUGUGGGGGGGGGAGUGGAGAUAAAAGAAAAUGAAUAAUAAUAAUAAAAAAAAAAAAAUCCUCGAGAGGAGAGAAGUAUCACGCCAUCGACGUGUGUAUACGCUUGCUCGAAAAAAAAGAAAAAAGAAGAAGAAACGAGAAACGGUGAUCAUCAUCGUUAUUAUUAUACGUAUAAGCUUAAACGGAGCGCACUUGCGGUAACCGCAAUUAAUUCUUCGGUAAUUCUUUACGUCAAUUAAUCCUAGUAUGUUAAUAAAACGGUAUUAUUACGUUACUACACGCUAACGAUAUAAUGUUCGCACGACCCGCUUAGGUUCCCAUACAGAAUCGACGCAUCAUCAUUCUACGAAUAAUCUACGGUGUGUGGUAUCUCCAAUUUGUAACUUUUUGUGUAUUUCUCUUUCUCUCUCUCUCUCUCUCUCUCGCUCUCUCUCUCUCUCUCAUCGAUUUUCAUAAUCUAUAUUUCGUCUUGUUCCUCGAAAGAAAGACUGCGAAGGUGUGCACGAUCUUCUGUUUAUACUCUAUGUGUGUGUGUGUGUGUGUGUGUGUGUUUUGUAUUACGUGUAUAUAAAUUGUUUGUUAAUUGAGACGACGCUAUUAACAACGAGAUAUAGAGGAGAAACAAAAAUGCGUUCGAGAGUUCACAGUGCACGGUUUCCGUGGUGGUCGGAUGGAGAACCGAAAUUACGGGGAGAAAAAAAUUUGCGAUCGACCGAUCACACGCACAAUCGUAUCGUUCUUGUCCUAAGCCGACGCCAUAUAUUGCAUGAUCCUCGACAAACACGCUGAGCAGCAAACGUUUCGUGUCUCGCAUAAGAUAAUAACGUUCCUUUCUUUUUGGUUUUUUUUUUUUUUUUACAAUUAUACUUUCACACGCAUCACGGAAGUCCGUUUGGUUGAGCAAAACGUGCCGUACGGAAUAGCUACUCGAAAAUCAUCGUCGCGACGUUCCGCUUUAUAAGAAGUGAAACAAAGGUAUCGUUCUCACACGAUGCUCCGAUUUUGUGAUAGCGACGCGUUACGAAGCGCAGCCGAUCGCACAAAAGGGGUCGGUGUCUUUCUUUUCCAUCUAUAUCCAUAAAAAAAAACGUAACUAACAACGAUUCUCAUACGUUCAGAUACGUAACAUGAACAAAAUUCACACAAUACCGGCUAUCACGUUGGUCAUCGAAAGUAGAGCGUUUCCUCCAGGUACACGACCCGAUCGACUGUGUUUUCGCAAGGGGAGAAAAGAAAGCACGUGAAUUGUGUCCACGGAUGGAAGGCAAAGCAGGCACGCGCGCGCGCGUCAUCGUCACAGAAACGGUCAUCUCAAGAAAUCGUCGACGCGGUGUUGUGUUGUUUAGCGUCGCCAAGCAUCGUCCUACCGAAACGUUCGUCGAGCUCUUUACAUUCCUCGAUUACCUUCUAAACGAGAGAAACGACGGUUAUCGUUUCGCGGUGGAAAACUGACCGCCGUGAAUCGACACGCGAUUACAUAUAUAUACAUAUAUAUAUUUUUGACGAGUACAGGGUUCGAAAGAUUCACUCGGUAGGAGGAUGCUAUAUCGUCAUCAUCUUCUUACAUCGAAGAAAACGCCUACAUACGAUUAAACGGCGGUGUCUCGUCGAUUACGAGGUUAAAUUACGGAAAGUCUGUCUAACACGACGGGGAACGAAUAUAAUAAGCGACGUGCAUAUAUCUUCGUGGAACAAGGGAGAACCGGACCGGAGUGAAGAAGGGGAAACGUGUGUGAGACAAGGUCUGCAAGAUUCGACGAAAAUCCGGCUCGUGUUUUCUGUUUGCUGCUUAAUUUUCUCGUCUGGCUUUUUCGGAUUUUUUUUGUUUGUUUGUUUCUUUUCAUGUAUUUUUUUUUGUAUUUGUUUUUUUUUUGUUUUCUUUUCUUUCUUUUUUUUUUCUCGUCAAAAUAUGCGCACUGACGGCGAGGGAUUGGUACAUGUGUUUUUUUUUUUAUUUUUUUUUUUCUGUUAGAGUCAGCCGAUUAUAGUAGAUCUUCGCGCGUGCAGAUCGACAGACGGCCAAGAGUAUCUCGGUCCCGAGGCUUCCUGCUAGCGACAGACAGACCCGACAGACGACAGACAGACCGACAGAC